UACGAAGGGUGCAAGCGUUAAUCGGAAUUACUGGGCGUAAAGGGUGCGUAGGCGGUUGUUUAAGUCUGUCGUGAAAUCCCCGGGCUCAACCUGGGAAUGGCGGUGGAUACUGGACAGCUAGAGUGUGUCAGAGGAUGGUGGAAUUCCCGGUGUAGCGGUGAAAUGCGUAGAGAUCGGGAGGAACAUCAGUGGCGAAGGCGGCCAUCUGGGACAACACUGACGCUGAAGCACGAAAGCGUGGGGAGCAAACAGG
rnacentral:rRNA from 1 species